GACGAACGCUGGCGGCGUGCCUAAUACAUGCAAGUAGAACGCACAGUUUAUACCGUAGCUUGCUACACCAUAGACUGUGAGUUGCGAACGGGUGAGUAACGCGUAGGUAACCUGCCUGGUAGCGGGGGAUAACUAUUGGAAACGAUAGCUAAUACCGCAUAAUAUUAAUUAUUGCAUGAUAAUUAAUUGAAAGGUGCAAUUGCACCACUACCAGAUGGACCUGCGUUGUAUUAGCUAGUAGGUGAGGUAACGGCUCACCUAGGCGACGAUACAUAGCCGACCUGGGAGGGUGGUCGGCCACACUGGGACUGAGACACGGCCCAGACUCCUACGGGAGGCAGCAGUAGGGAAUCAUCGGAAAUGGACGAAAGUCUGAACGAGCAACGCCGCGUGAGUGAAGAAGGUUUUCGGAUCGUAAAGCUCUGUUGUAAGAGAAGAAAGGGUGUGAGAGUGGAAAGUUCACACUGUGACGGUAUCUUACCAGAAAGGGACGGCUAACUACGUG
rnacentral:rRNA from 1 species